rnacentral:lncRNA from 1 species
CAGGGAGUGAAAGGCUCUUUAUCCCACCUUUCCUUCGCCUGUUUGUUUGAUCCCUCCCACAAGUUUUUCCGGUGCCGCGGUUUUCACUUCUGCCUGGUUAUGCCACGGGUUUGAAACCUGAAUGGGGUAUUUAUCUAAAUAUAUCCAAACACAUCCCUGUAAUUCCUUGUGAGUUCUGGGGGCAGUGAGGGAUCCAGGAUGCUUUUUGGACCGGGGCAGAGAUGCAAAUGACUGCAGUGUAAUUCAGCUUGUGCUCCAGGCCAAGCCAAAGAGGGCUGGUAGGUCCAGGUUAGGCUGGGAUUUCUCUGUUUUGUGGAGCUGGGCUCAGUGUGUCACACAGGGCACUGUGACACUGCCUGCCCUGGCUCCAGCUGCCUCCACACUUUUCUGAGAGGAGCAAAGAGACAAAACUACAUUAAUGAGAGCCUUGAUGCUUAACCGAGCUGCAGCUCCUGAGCAGAGGUAAUUGCAGUCUGCCGAGAGGGAGUUAAAUGGGAUUAAAAGAUCUGUGUAAGCAAAAGGACCCAGAAGAGAAGGAGGAAGGAGUGAGCCGUCCGGGCCAGGGGUGUCUGUGACACAGCCGAACCCCUUAGCGAGGCACAGAGCCGAGCUCCUGGGAAGGAUGUACCCACAAACCGCCUCACCCCCCGAUUUCUGAUGGAUUGCCGCAAAAAUUGCCCGAAAGAGACAAUGCACUAAAACGUGAUGGAGCCGGAAUCAGAGCCGGUCUCCAGACUCAGAGCUACAGCGGCAGGCAGGGGGGGAUUCUGCUUUCUCUGGACAAUAUUGUGUUUUACUUGGUUCCUGGGAUUCACACAGGGAAGUUCUGAAGGUAAACUACACUUCUUAUUUUCUCUCUUCCUUCAACAAAAGUAAAAGCCAAGUGCUUUG